rnacentral:misc_RNA from 1 species
GAAAUGCGAUAAGUAAUGUGAAUUGCAGAAUUCAGUGAAUCAUCGAAUCUUUGAACGCACAUUGCGCCCGCCAGUAUUCUGGCGGGCAUGCCUGUCCGAGCGUCAUUUCAACCAUCAAGCCCCCGGGCUUGUGUUGGGGACCUGCGGCUGCCCGCAGGCCCUGAAAACCAGUGGCGGGCUCGAUGUCACACCGAGCGUAGUAGCAAUCACCUCGCUCAGGGCGUGCUGCGGGUUCCGGCCGUUAAACAGCCUUACAAAACCCAAGGUUGACCUCGGAUCAGGUAGGAAGACCCGCUGAACUUAAGC